AUUGAAUCAAAUAAAAAUCUUCAGAUGAAUCUUAUCACAAUAUGAAAUAAAACUGCUAGAAAGGAAACAAUUACAAAAUUUUGAAUGAAUGUAAAUUAAUUAUACUAAUGACCGUUGAAGACUGACAACAAUUGAUAAGCAUUCAAGCUCUAAAAAAAGCAAUACCUUAAAUUGGCAAGGCUAAUUAAAUUCAAAAUUCGAAAAAGAAUCGAGACACAUUAAAUGAUGCGACCAAGGCCCUAAAU